rnacentral:rRNA from 15 species
UCUGGCAUCGAUGAAGAACGCAGCGAAAUGCGAUAAGUAGUGUGAAUUGCAGAAUUCAGUGAAUCAUCGAAUCUUUGAACGCACAUUGCGCCCCUUGGUAUUCCAUGGGGCAUGCCUGUUCGAGCGUC